CUCCCUGUGGCUCAACGGUAAAACGUCCGUCCCUCACACCGGAGACCCGGGUUCGAACCCUGGUCCUGACA